CUAAGAAGUUAUUCUUUUCCAUUUUUAGGGUGAAUGUCGAACCCAAGGGCUUUGUAUAUUUAGGUGAGUGUGAAGAUCUAUUCUCUGCUUUGGUGUGGACUUUUUCCCAAAGGUCUGUAUAAUGACUCCAUUGAAAUCCCUCCAAAAGCUCAAGGAUUGGAGGCUCCUUGGCUGGGGAGGAACAGAAGAGUUUCUCGCAUGGAGCUCUGUGGAGUACGUGCUUGAGAAAUGUGUUUUAUUCAUCCAACAGAAAAAAACUAUGUUAGAUAUCACCAGAAUGUGCAUCCCAGGAUCUUCAAAAAGCCAGACAAGAGGAAGGAAUUAG
rnacentral:lncRNA from 1 species